rnacentral:rRNA from 1 species
GACGAACGCUGGCGGCGUGCUUAACACAUGCAAGUCGAACGGAAAGGCCCUGCUUUUGUGGGGCGCUCGAGUGGCGAACGGGUGUGUAACACGCGUGUAUACUGCCCUUGUCUUUGGGAUAACUUUAGGAAACUGGGGAUAAUAUCGGAUAGGAGCUCCUGCUGCAUGGUGGGGGUCGGAAAGUUUCGGCGGUUGGGGAUCGACUCGCGGCUUAUCAGCUUGUUGGGGGGGUAGUGGCUUACCAAGGUUUCGACGGGUAGCCGGCCUGAGAGGGGUACCGGCCACAAUGGGACUGCGAUACGGCCCAGACUCCUACGGGAGGCAGUAGUCGGGAGUAUUGCGCAAUGGGCGGAAGCCUGAUGCAGCAACGCCGCGUGCGGGAUGACGGCCUUCGGGUUGUAAACCGCUUUCGCCGGUGACGAAGCGUUAGUGACGGUAAUGGGUAAAGAAGCACCGGCUAACUACGUG